UUGGGGCUGAGGGGCACCAGCAAAGCACAGGGCUGGGUAGCAGGCAGAGAGAUGCCCUGUAGGUUGAGACCAGUGCCGUAACAAGGGCGAGGCGAGUGAGGCACUUGCCUCAGGUGCGCAAAGCUGAGGGGCACAGAAAAAGAUGAUGUCAGUGCGUUUGUCUGCAGAUACAACUGUCAUUCAAGUAAUCGAGUUCUAGUAUUCCCAGUGAGCACACGCUUAUUAUGUAUUAGGACUUUUCGGAUCCGCUUAAGACCCACCAAGUGUCUAUCGAACAAGAUCCUGCAUUAUGAAUAGUAUGAAUUCUAAAUGUCCGAGUGGGGCAGAGUACCGUAAAUGAUGAAAACACACUACAGUAGAAAAUGAAAAAAUGUCAGUGAUAAUGGGGAAAUGGCUAGUGAAAAAUGCAUCAAACGAUGGGAAUACGCCAAUAGCUGACAUCUCUGACGGCAUAAGUUUGGCACCACUAUCUAAUAGUAACAAUGAGAAUUAUACAACUUCAGAAAAUAUUGUUACUAUCGGCCAGCAAUUGGAUCAUGAGGUUACAACUUCACCUUCAGUAUCAAUUACUGACAAUGAUGAGACACUUGACACCUUCGAUAUCAUGGCUAAAACUACUGUGAUUGGCCGCAAUCAGCAACAUAAUUCCUCUACAAGGCAAAUCAUUGAAAUCAAUUUUAAUGAUCCAAUGAUCCACCAUCUUGGCCCUGUAUAAACGAUAAAAUAAGAGGCCACAUUAUUGAACAUGGACCUGGUCAGGGAAAAUCUGAAGAUUUCCAUGAAUCAACAUCGGAAGAUGGAAGAAAAUUUUCAGGAGACUGUUUUUUUAAAAAGCUUUUUAAUGGUGAAACCGUAGAGCGUAAUUGGCUUAUUUACUCGGAAACUAGUAAGUCAAUUUUUUGUUUUCCAUGCAUGUUAUUCAAUCAGCGCUUUACCAAACCUAAUAUUGCAAAUCAGAAAGUAGGAUUUAAUGAUUGGAAAAAUUUAAACCGUGUUAUGGAACAUGAAAAUUCAACCAAUCAUCGUGAACAUUUCUGUAAAUGGAAAUCCUUACAAAAGAGAUUACUAAGCGAAGAAUGUGUCGAUGAUGCGCUACAAAAAGCUAUUGAAACUGAUAAGCAAAAAUGGAGACAAAUUCUAAAAAUAAUUCUUGAUGCCUUGGUGUUUUGUGCCAAAAACAAUUUAUCACUUAGAGGAUCGUGUAGCAGAACAGAAAACCCUAAUUUGGGAAUAUUUCUUAAUCUAUUGGAAUUUAUAAGUCAUUAUGAUGUUCAGCUAAAACAGCACAUCGUAGCUCACAAAGGUUCAGUGAGUUAUUUUUUACCGGCUAUACAAAAUGAAUGUAUUGGCUUACUAGCAAACCAAGUUCGUAAUGAAAUUAUAUCCAAAAUUAAAAAAGCUAAAUAUUAUUCUAUCCUUCUGGACUGCACAUCAGACAUAUCUCAUUGAGAGCAAAUGUCCCAGAUUGUGAGAUAUGUGAGAAUCAAUACUGGAAUUUUAUCUAUAGAAGAAAGUUUCACAGACUUAAUUGAAACCAAAGAAAAAAUGGGAAGUGGAUUAGCCAAAGAAAUAAUAAAGUUUGAAAAUGAUGGGCUUGAUCUUCAAAACCCGAGAGUCCAAGGCUAUGAUAAUGGCGCAAAUAUGUCAGGUGUGUACAAAGGCGUCAAAGCUGUCAUUUUGCAAAAAAAUAGAUUAGCUAAUUUUGUACCAUGUUCAGCCCAUUGUCUAAAUGUAGUCGGAGUACGUGCAGCUUCCAUAAAUUCUACUAUGGUUUCAUUCUUUGCCGCUGUACAAAAGUGAUACACAUUUUUUUCUUUUUCAACCAGUCGCUGGGAUAUUUUAAUGGGUAUGUUAAAAGUAUCACUAAAAGGUCAUGCUGAUACUAGAUGGGGAUCAAGAGCUAAUGCAACUGAAGCCUUACAUUCACAGAUUGCAGAAGUGACCAAGGCUCUAAAAAAUGUCGCUGUUGCAUCGAAAUAUCCAGAAGCAGUAUCAACAGCUAAUAGCCUUCUUAAAAAAAUUAAUUAUAAUUUUUUGUGCACGUUAUCCAUAUGGUGCAAUAUCCUAACUCAUAUUGAGAGAGUGAAUGAAGCCCUACAAGCAAAAGGCAUCACUGUUUCUCAGGCUUGUAAAAUGAUCAACAGAUUACAAAAUAUUUUACAAGAGAUGCAUGAAAGCGAUAACGAUAUGGUCAAUAUUUUUACAGAUUGUAAAAAAAACGGCUGAAAAUAUAGAAAUACCAGCAGAAUUGAUUGAAUCCAGAAAGCGAAAAGUAAAAAGGCAGCAACUUUAUGAGUGUGCAGAUGAAUCUUCUAAUUUAUCAGCUGAACAAUCUUUCAAAGUACCAAUAAAAACCGUAUUUGACACCAUAAUAGUUGAGUUACAUUGGAGAUAUGAAACUUUAAAUGAGAUAUCUUCUGAUUUCGAUUUUCUUUCAGGUGAUUAGCUUGUUAAAAUGGACACUACUAAUCUUCAAAAAGCAGGAGUGGAUUUAAGUCUCAAAUAUGACAGCGAUUUGAAUGCCUCCGAAAUUUCAUCAGAGAUUCAGAGUUUUAAACAUCAGGCGUCAGCGCUGUUUCCACACGUUUCAUGCACAACUAGUUUGGACCUUCUCUAGUUAAUUCAUUAAUAUAAUUUGGCCGAAUCUUAUCCAGAUUUAGAAAUUGCAUUAAGAAUAUUUCUCUGCAUGCCAGUAACUUUGGCUUCUUGCAAAAGAAGCUUCAGAAAGCUCCUAUUAAUUAAAAACUACCUUCAAGCAACCACGGGUCAGGAGAGAUUAACAAAUAUGUCCAUCUUGUCAAUAGAACAUGAAGUAGUGAAUUAUAUUAAUUUUGAUGCAAUUAUCGAUGAUUUUUGCCUCAUUAAAAGUGCAAAAAGUACAAUUUUGAAAAAUAACCAUUAAUCGUAUCUGAUAUGGUUCUACAGCUAAAUUGUAUUUGUGAUUAUUUAAAUAGUAUGUUCCAUGCACUAGGAUGCACACCUUAUAUGUAUUAGUUGAUUUUGUAUGUGGAACUUAUUAUUAAAAUAAAUAAACAUUCUACUAUCAUUAUUA